GGACUACUGGGGUAUCUAAUCCCGUUCGCUCCCCUGGCUUUCGUGUCUCAGCGUCAGCACACUCCCAGCUACCUGUUUUCACCAUUGGCGUUCCAAAUGAUAUCUACGCAUUUCACCGCUCCACCAUUUGUUCCGGUAGCCCCUAAGUGGCUCAAGACGACCAGUAUACCCAGCAGUUCCACGGGUAAGCCGUGGGAUUUCACAAGGUACUUAGAAGUCCGCCUACACACGCUUUAAGCCCAGUGAUUCCGCCUAACGCUCGAGGCCUCUGUAUUACCGCGGCUGCUGGCAC
rnacentral:rRNA from 1 species